rnacentral:rRNA from 1 species
UACGUAGGGUGCAAGCGUUAAUCGGAAUUACUGGGCGUAAAGCGUGCGCAGGCGGUUUUGUAAGUUUGUCGUGAAAUCCCCCGGGCUCAACCUGGGAAUGGCGAUGAAGACUGCAAGGCUAGAGUUUGGCAGAGGGGGGUAGAAUUCCACGUGUAGCAGUGAAAUGCGUAGAUAUGUGGAGGAACACCGAUGGCGAAGGCAGCCCCCCUGGGUCAAAAACUGACG